UUUGACCUCGGAUCAGGUAGGACUACCCGCUGAACUUAAGCAUAUCAAUAAGCGGAGGAAAAGAAACCAACAGGGAUUGCCCUAGUAACGGCGAGUGAAGCGGCAACAGCUCAAAUUUGAAAUCUGGCCUUCGGGUCCGAGUUGUAAUUUGUAGAGGAUGCUUUUGGUGCGGUGCCUUCCGAGUUCCCUGGAACGGGACGCCAUAGAGGGUGAGAGCCCCGUCUGGUUGGAUACCAAUCCUCUGUAAAGCUCCUUCGACGAGUCGAGUAGUUUGGGAAUGCUGCUCUAAAUGGGAGGUAUAUGUCUUCUAAAGCUAAAUACCGGCCAGAGACCGAUAGCGCACAAGUAGAGUGAUCGAAAGAUGAAAAGCACUUUGAAAAGAGAGUUAAAAAGUACGUGAAAUUGUUGAAAGGGAAGCGCUUGUGACCAGACUUGGGCUUGGUUGAUCAUCCUGGGUUCUCCCUGGUGCACUCUUCCAGUCCAGGCCAGCAUCAGUUUGCUUCGGGGGAUAAAGGCUUCGGGAAUGUGGCUCCUUCGGGAGUGUUAUAGCCCGUUGUGUAAUACCCUGAGGCAGACUGAGGUUCGCGCUCUGCAAGGAUGCUGGCGUAAUGGUCAUCAGCGACCCGUCUUGAAACACGGACCAAGGAGUCGUCUUCGUAUGCGAGUGUUCGGGUGUUAAACCCCUACGCGUAAUGAAAGUGAACGCAGGUGAGAGCUUCGGCGCAUCAUCGACCGAUCCUGAUGUUCUCGGAUGGAUUUGAGUAAGAGCAUACGGGGCCGGACCCGAAAGAAGGUGAACUAUGCCUGUAUAGGGUGAAGCCAGAGGAAACUCUGGUGGAGGCUCGCAGCGGUUCUGACGUGCAAAUCGAUCGUCAAAUAUGGGCAUGGGGGCGAAAGACUAAUCGAACCUUCUAGUAGCUGG
rnacentral:rRNA from 1 species